CUCGUUUUGUUUCUAUUGUUUAAUUUGCUUACUUUUUUUAUUAUUUUUAAAGAAAAUAAUCAAUGAUUAAAAAAAUUCUUACUGAUUAUGAAAAGAGGAAGGCACUUCUGGCAAUUCCUUGUAAAAUAACAGUUCAUACUUUUAAGCUAUGUGUAAGAAUAUUUUAAACUGCAUUCUUAUAACUAAAGUUAAUUUAGUUUUCUUCUCAACAAGUGAAAGUAGACUUGUGGUAGAGCAUUGUGGUAGAUAGUUCCUUUCUGCUGCAAAAGGUUGUGGUUUCAAACCCUGGCUAAGUCUUUCCUUUCUGCUUAGCAUUCAGAAUGAGAAUAGAAUUUUUAUCCCAGGCAUUUAUCUAGUUGAGCAAUUGCUGGUUUGUAGGCUUUGGACUCAAAUGGGAGCUUUAAAUGCACAAAUGUGCCAGUAGUAACUGAAGAGGCUAUCCUAGGUAAAUAACUUUAAUAAUAUUAAUACAGACGAUCAAUAUAACCACAUAGCUUAAAAUAAAUAUUAGUAGUAUAGUAAGAGCAUUAUAAGCGUUUUUUUUUCUCCUUUCACACCUUUACCCCGUCAAACCCCCGCUUCCACCACCUCCACCCCCACCCCAGCGCUACCCUCCCCAAAUCAAAAAAAUCCGACGGCAUCCGAAAACAAAUCCGAUAAAUUCCGAUCCCGGAAAAUUCUUGCGCAUGCGCACACGCUGAUAGUAAUAAUGCUGACAUCAACAAAAUCCAGAGCAUGCGCAGUUGAGUAGGGGCGAGUGUCAAUACUCAAAAAUAGACCGUGCUAUUCAAAGUUGAAAACUACCCCAGAGGUGUAAAAAGAAGAAUGGAAGUCUCAAAAUGCCCACAAUGUAGACAAUUUUUACCCAUGGAUAAAUUCAGGUUCAAGGUUGACGGAUAGCUGACAAAAUAGGCAACGGGUUGCUGCCCUAGCAAAAUAUGGUAAUGGCAUAGUGUGCCCCUAUUGUAAAAAACUUAAAUUUGACUGUGAGUAUAGGAUCAUAGACAAAAAAAGACCCAGAUUUAGCACAAAUUGCAUUGAGUGCCUGAUCAAGAACGCGGCCAAGCCAGAGCUAAGUCGACAAAUGUAUUUCAGCUGGGGACCCCCCCAAAUUACCCCGAUGCAUCCCUGAAAACCGAUAAACCCUGGAACACAACGUUAGCAAUAUUGCUGACAUCAACAAAAUCCUAAGCAUGCGCAGUUGAGUAGGGGUGAGCCCCAUACUCAAAGCCCGACCGUGCUAAUUGAAAUCGAAAUCUACCUAUAUUAAAGAUGAAUUGUAUUCAAGCAUAUGUGGGUCAAGCUCAUCUCCAUGAGAGAGCCCCUACUUGGAUGUGGACCUCUUUUAGACUGGUUGCGUGGCAAAAGGUGCAUAUACAGCUUUGACAAGACAGACGAAAGAACGGAUAGCCUGUGCUUUUGGAGAUGCCUAGCCGUUCACUACCGGGAAGAGCUAACGCAGCAUGAAAGUUUGUAACAAGACCAGCCCUCAAAUUGGCCCGCGAGUACUACGAGGACCCCUGAAGAUUACCAGGGGUUCCGGGAUGAGUUCUACAAGAGGGGGUGUGUUACUAUGAUGGACUGGUUGACCGAGUACAACCUGGCGGACCUGAUACCCUUCUAUAUAACUUGCCAUGGGCAUAUACAGCAAAUCAAACUGAUGCAUCUCAUUGGUUUUGUAAUGGUGAAAUGAGGGUAGUCGAUACGUUUAGGGCCUCAAAUAUGUCUGAGCCAACGGAUUUGACGAGUCAGCCAAAGGGUAACACGCUUCUUGGAGAGACCACUCUCCUCAGGGAGCAGUUUGAUAGCCUUUCGACCAGUCCAGAGAUGUUCCGGGGUAUAAUAGAUUUGGCUCAAUUUCCCCGCUUCUUCCUCGGUAACGAUAUGUGCUUUUGACAUAUUUAUUAUAUCUCAAAAUGCUUAAGCAUACUUGUACACCGCAAAACCCAGGAGAGCCAGAGGGCCCACGAUGAACGUGGGUUCACCGUCCUUCUGUUUCUGGGAAGGCUCAUAAAAGUCUGAUAGUUUGGGCUCUUUUUCGAUAGUCGCGAUGUAAUAGUCUUUCAUACCCUCAUCAAAUUCUUUCAAAGACUCACCAGCCUGGCGCUUCAAUUCACGAUGAUGGUUAUACCAGUCGAUCUUGGCCUGCCUGUCCCGCACGCCUUUGGGCCUGGGCUGCUUGCAAUUGUUCCACGGCCUUAUCAUGCCUUUUCCUCUCUUCCUCACCAUGUCCUGAAAGUUUGCUGAAAAGGAAAUUAGAUCCGCUAAACACGAGCGCGUUGAUAGCUGCCAUAUAUUCUGAGAUGAAACGAUUGCCUAUUGCAAUGUUCUUACUCACCAACAUGGUAAAUACAAAAAUUGUGGUCUUCUAAUACAUCACAUCUUCCAGCCUACCAUCCAAAAUGUUUAACUGCGCGUCUUUGAGCAAAUAUACAUAACAUGUAAUAUCACCGGCUCCGUCGGCCUCCUUGGUCAUGUGCAAAGUGAUCCCAUCACUAAGCCUUUGCAAGGGUCUACCCGAACCAUGCAGCUUGUUAUCGAUGGAUACCCUAAAGUCUAUGAAAAGCGCGUACCUUUCGUUGAAGAACUGGCCUAUUGUUACUGUGGAGUGCGCACUUCCAAACAGCCCCGCAACUUGCUUGAAAUGGUCCUUGGGUAGCAUGGUGUGACUGUAUAGUUCGUUCGGUUCACCUUCCACGGUGAUCACGAUUCUUUCAAUAUUGGGGUUGUAGAAUGUCUCGUUUACGCCAGAGUAUGGUUUCACUAUAACAGGGUCUUGAAACAGUAAUAGCACGCCCUUUAAAGACUUUGCUGGUGUAUCGAUUUGAAGGUUGUAGCUGGUAUCUGCCUUUUGCAUUUUCACAAUUUGCUGCGGAGCACCCUCUCAUAUGGCAGCGCUAGCCUCAAAUACCUUGACACCAUAGCACUAGCCAGGCUUUCGUGGUAUACCUUGUCAAACUCGAGCACAAUAUUGGUAAUUUUGUAGGUUGCAUCAGCAGGUUUAGCUUCUACCACACUAGAUCCAGACCCCGACUGAGGUGUGCCUUCAUCUUUAAUUACAUUGCUGUGCUGUGCGAAGUGCAGCACAAACUGUUGUCUGUCGUGCAGUCCUGCUUGAUAAAAGGGCAGAUUCCUCGUCAACUUGAACAUUUUGCCAAGCGGGAUGCAAAAAGUGUUUCAACAUUUCCGGCUUUGAAUGUAGAUUUCACUUGGAGCUGUCUCGUGGCACCAUCCGGCACGUCAUUACCUUUGAGUGUCAAUUCGUUUUUGCGCUCUAAUUUGGGCAGCCAAAGGUCCCUGUACACUGCAAAGGUACUGUAGUCGCUAAUGUUCUGCACUUCUCUGCUAUUUAGAGUGAUGCAAAGGUCCUGCACCAGGGCCUUACCAAUGUUGUUUACGAUUGUGCGAUUCGUGUUGGUUCCCGUGAUUACAAGGUCAAAGAGGAGCGUAAUAGAGCCGGGGCAAAUGACAUUAUUCAUGCCCAUAUUGGGAAUUUCCAUGUACAAGUUCUUGUUCUGGUUAAUCGUGCUGGGUGUAUGCGAUAUUUUCACACGCUGUCUCUUCCCCUUUAUGGAGAGCAAAGUUCUCGUUUCUGUGUAUGGAUCAAGUUCAAUUCAGUACAUCUACAUCAUCAAAGAGUGGAAUAAAUGAAAGAUAAUCCUGGAUUCGAUGACGAUUUCACGGCGGAGGAGGACCUUGACCGUGGUGAAGAGGGGGAAUCUUUCGGUAGACCUGAGGAUAUUCCUUGGGUCCACCACCAUCACGCCCGCAACACCUUCACGAGGCGGCCUCACUGAGACCGCGACUCUCACAGCAAGGGGGGAGCUACUGAGGUCGAAGGUUGACGAUCUUUACAAAGCUCUUGGUGAUGAGCUGGGGCAGCCUAGCACUAGAUACUACAACGAGUUUGAGGUCAAAGGGAACCAGCUUCUUUACGAUGGUGUAGAGCUCAUGAAAAGGAAUGGUGAACUGAGGAGCAUUGCCAAGAUACAACGGAGGUUGGGGACGAAUCGCAUGCGAGCCAUGGGGUUUACCGACUAUACUACACCAAACAGGGGCAGUAAGGCAGCAGCUAACAAACUUAUGAACGAAUUGAACCAUAUGGAGGAAAGGGCUGAUGACAUCGAGAUGCUGCCACUGCUCGAAAAUGUUUUAGACGGAGAGUCUUAUCGAAGAUACUUCCUUUGGCGGGGAUGGAAGCUUUACGGAACGCGAAAGAAGAGGGCUCAACUUCGAGCUUCAAACGCUAAGAGGCAAUCUGAGGAAUCUGAAAAGCAAGAUGAUAUUUUACGAUAGCGAGAUAGACAAAGCAGAGGCCAAGGUGAAACAUCUCAAGAGCAGGAAAGCUACACCUUAUCUGAGGAGCAGAUAGCUAUCUGGAAUGAAGACAUCGCGAAGGCCAGGGAAGAGAUAGAGGGACUCCAUGAUCAGAAGGAAGAAGCACGAAAAACGCACGGUUUACUUUCCUCAGACACCCAAAGCCAACUGAAGCACAUUAAAGACACUCUGAUGAAGAUCGCUAGGGAUGAUACAUCUUUGCUAGAAAAGCUUGAGAUUCUCUUCAAGGAGCAGGGGAUCACCAUUGCGAGCAUCGUUUCUGCUGUUGGUCUACUGAUAAGCAUAAUCAUGCUCACUGUUACUGGAGGUGAUGGAGGUGCUGCUAGAGGUGCUGCCGCUUGGGGUGGGGAAGGUUUUGUACGGAAACAGCUUGAAAGACUAGGGAAAUUCUAGAGGUACCUAGUAGGCAAAGCAGGUGUGGCAUUACCAGGGAUCAUUGGCAGUGUGGUAUCAUUUUUUUCAGAGCUGCGGCUAAGAUUGUGGAAUUUGCAGCCAAACAUCUGUACAUGGUUUUAGCUGCUGUGGCGGCAUUCGUUGUGACCUAUGUUGGGAGGGCUGGGACGGGUGGCAAGAAUCGAUGAGUCCAAUAUGUUUGUACAAUAUAUUGGAACCUUAUCUCAUCCAGAGAUAGAUUAGAAUGAGGCCUGUUCCAGCAAUGAUCAAGGUGGUCUUGGAUAUUUAUUUCCAAGGGGGCGGCAUGGCAUGCUGGAUAUCGUGCUUGGCAACAUCUUGGACAUUAAUCAUGGGGUUAGUACCAAUGGAGAAAUACUCCUUACUGAUGAGUAUCUUGUUCGUAAAAUUCAUGACACUCCUGAUAUGAAGGCUCAUGUUGUUGGGUAUCAUAUGGACACCGUGAGCUACGCUGUAAUCUACCUUCGAACGGGCAUACUUCAGCACGUUUUGAAACUCGUCAAUUUCCCUACUGGUGUUACUCGAUCUCAAUAUCAAGCCUUUAAUCUCCGUCAAAUAGAGGCGCUGCGCAUCGAUAGCACUUCCCUGGUUGCCUAUAAUGCCCAAUCUCACAUUGGCUUGGCUCUGCAAUAUUAGAUAGGCAUAUAGUCGCACGCUUUGGGAGAGCUUCCCUACACCUAUAUGCUUUAAGCCUUGGGAUUUCUCCAGAAUCCACCAGCUCCACGAGUCUUUAUUGAAAUAGGAAGGACCCGAUCCGGGAUAAUCUUUGCGAAUAGCUUGCCAAUUGGAGAAUAGGGCCUCAUUCCGCCAUUCCCAUUCGCUGGCACUUAUAUCAAAUUCACAUGUAGUCGACGAAAAUGUUGGAGAAUUUCACCUUGAAUGAGGACCCCUUCGCGUCAAUAACGAUGUCUUGUAUUGAAAGGUCAUCACCCUUGAGUCUCUCGAGAUAGCGCCCAUGCUCUGGGGUUAUACGAGUAAGUGCUCAUCUUUUAUUAAAGAAACAUGAAGCAACUGUAUAUCACUGAUAUCGAAAAGCCUACGAUAUUUGAAGACUACCUAGGGCAGGACACGAGGAUCGCAUUGAAAUCCAUCACCAUUCGACCCAUGUGGCUAAACCUCUUCAGUAAUAGCGAGUUUACAAUCCGUAAGGCAGGGCCUGAUCAAAGGGUUACUUAAAUUGAAAUAAUGAAUGGGUUGUACAAGAUAGAGGAUUUGGCAAUCAUCAUCAACAAGCAAGCGGAGGGCAAGAUCGAGAUCUUCGUGCUGAGGAACGGACUCUGCAGGCUCCGUGUCAGCGACAGGUACACGGUGGUAUUUGGUCGACAUUUGCAUGAACUCUUGGACUUACCCUACGAUCCCAGUAAAAAAUACUAUACCAAAGGCAAUUAUGACGGCUUCUACAAGACCGACGUCUACCAGCGGAUGAGACUGGUUUGUCCUCAGCUGGACGAAGAUGAUUGCCUGCUGGAUGGUAAAAAAUCCAAGAUUCUAGCUAUGCUCCCCACCAAAGAGCUAAACGCAUGGGCAGACAUGCUUACGUGGAGUUUCGAUAACCCUGUAUACCUCCCCUUGAACGGCUCGACAGACAGGCUGGAGUUUAUGCUCACGGAUGAGCAUCACCACGAUAAGAACGUUUCUUUCGUGGGAAUUACUAUGCACCUACAGAUAGAAUAAAUCUGUGAGAAAUUACAAAGAUUUAUUGGAGCUUACCUAGUGCACCUCCUAAUGGUACGGAGGAUGAUAAAAGCCAAGUGUACAGACUCGGAAAAAUAGAAGAGGUUAAACAGUACCUACAUAACGAGACCAAAGAGUGGGACAAGCUCGCUAAAAAGUUUAAGAUGCAUGGCACGUGGGUUUGAUACACCGAUCAUGGUCUGCUGGCCGUAAGUGUCACUACUGGCAGUGGCUAUGGGGGGCAUCACCAUAGCCGUAGGAUUGGGUCAAGCAGGCCUAAAGAACACGGGCAAGAGGCUAGAUGUCAAGAGCAAGAAGCACAAGGGUAUAUGGUUGCUGGCGGAGACCAAACUGAACUCUGUUGUCGAUCUCAUUAGCAGAGCUGUGGAGAAUGGCGUGAUUAGCAAUUGUGAAUUCAGCUUGAUUAUGCAGGAAAAGCAACGGUAUAUGUUGCUCAAGGAGCAAAUACGCCAAAGAACCAGAAAGAUUGUAGAGUCCCUUAAUGAACGGGAGAGACAGCAGCUGGUCGAGAAGGGGCGUGAGGAGGGCAAGCAGGAGCUUAUGAAAAAACUUCAAUCUGUGCAACAUGUAAGUGGUAUCUAGAUGAACCGCCAGCUUAUGUCUAGUAUGUUGAACAAUAUACUAGAGUACUUCCCCCUAACUAAAUCGAAGGCGUGAUCACCAUCAUGAGAGACAUGUAGCUGUUUUUCAACGAGCUGUCUCGAGUAUUCUUCGAGAUUUUUCUCCCAAGCGAUCGUGACGCAAGGUUUGCAAUAAGGACCGUCCGUUUGUGUCGAAGCAUCCUUGUACUUGGCCUUUCGGAUCGCUUCGAGAAGGGGGGUCCUGUUCAUGGUUGAAUAGUUGCGGAUCUUAAACGCUUUGGCCUCUUUUUUCAGUUCAUGUACGUUCAUAUUUAGUUAUAUGGGCAUAGGCCAACCAUAUAACACAUUUUCAGACCUAUUUCAAAUAUGAUUCCUUGUCGUCGUCAUUUUCGUCCUCCAGCUCGCUAAGGUAGGGAGUAGUAUGGAAUUCUACAGGCAGGUACGUGCACUCAUCCAGAUUGAAUUGUAGAUGAUGGUUUGAGCCUUGUUUGUAGAUGCCUGAUAGUUUGAGAAUGACUUCGCACUCGCAGCUUUGUUUUAGCGGAACUUUUUGGUAAUGAAAGUCUGUUUUGACCUUGCCUUCACAUUCCUUCACCUUAGCCGUAAUGUACUUGCCUCUUUUCACAGGUUGGGCAGCAAAGGUUUGUAAUUUCAAAGCUUGUACCCUGGUCAUGAUGCUAUUAAAUUUCUCCAACCAUUCGUGGUGAUCAUAGAUGUCGAAUGACAUGGUCAGUGCCGAUCCCUCGGUAUAGCGCGAAGCACCGUUUGAAUAUAGCUUCUUGGGUGUUUUGAUUGUUAAAUGCCGGAUCUUGUCACAAUUUUUAUAGCCAAUUACGGUGCGCUCAUCUUUGCCUCUGUUGGCCAGAACGGGAUCACUUAGCACAAUAUUCUCAAUGUUGAUAUCUUUGAUAUUUAAUGGAGCCGCUUGGGCAUAAAACUCUCUUGUAUUAACAUUCUCUGUACCAAAUUUAAACAUCCUUUUAUUUUGGUAAAAAGGGAGUUCAACUAGAGUCUGGUACAUAGACAGUAGCCGCCAUUAUACGUAAUGUAUAAGUAAUAGCAGGACCAGCACAGCAUUUUGCCGUGUAUAAGGAGCCUCUGUUGACAGCAACAGCACCGGUCGUACUCAUCAAGGACAAUCUCGCAGUCGUCGCAUUGCUCCAUUUAUCUUACAACCCGUGGUUGUAAGAUAGUCCGUGAUCUCCAUACUAAAUCCCCGGGUCGGCUCCCAGGUGGACCAUUUUCUAGGAUCUUAAAUGCUACGGAAGAAACUCGAUCAGCCAUGGUUUCUCCCGAAUUGCCCGGGUACACAUUUCUUGUGUCUUGAAAUGGUCCGGAACGCAUUGUAGAGCCAAGGGAUCCUCUUGAACAGCCAUGGUAUACAUUUCCCGGGUCUUGAAAUGGUUUGGAAUACCAUCGAGUACCCUAGGCCUCUUUUCAACUGCCCCGGUACACAUUUCCUAGGUCUUGAAAUAGUCCGCAACAUACCAGAGCAGCCAGGGAUCCCAUUCAACCACUCUGUCACACACUUCUUGGCUCAUGAACCGAUACGGAACAUAUUCGAGCGCCCUGGGAUCUAUUUGAACUGGCAUGACACACAUUUCUUACGUCUUGAAAUGGCCUGGAACAAGCUGCCCCUGGCUCUGGGAUAUUGUUGAACCGCCUGAGUACACAUAUCUUGCGUUUUGAAAUGGUCUGGAAUGUGGUUGAAUAACAAAGGAUUUUCUUGAAACACUCUAUUACACAUUUCUGGGUCGUGAAAGUUUCUGUAACAUCCAUUUAUUAUAUAUUGGGAAGCUCAAUCGGCGUCCUGGUGCGAUUAUAGUUUUGAUAUCAGGACUUUCCCCUACUCAAUUGUGCAAUCUCUUUUUGUUGAUGUCAGCAAUAUUACUAUCGGCGUGUGCUCAUGCAUCGGGGAUGUCGGUUUCGGAUUUGUUUUCAGAUUUAUUUUUGGAUGCCAUCGGAUUUACCGGUUUUGGGAGGGUAGGGGCUCGGGUGGGGGUAGAGGUGGUGGAAGCGGGGUUUUGGCGGGGUAAAGGUGUGAAAGGAGAAAAAAAAACGCUUAUAAUGCUCUUAUCUUACUAUACUACUAUAUUUUAUCUUUUAAUUUUCAUUGUGAGAUUGAUGCUUUUGCUACCCCCUCUUUUUUAAACAAAAUCAGGAAAGUGAGUUGUUU